UCAAGCAAGAAGAGGUUUGCGGCGGAUGCCUGGGAGCUGUCCGGCGAAGAAGGCCGCGGUAAGCUGCGAAAAGCUGCGGGGAGGAGCACACAUCCUGAGAUCCGCAGAUAGCCGAAUGGGGUAACCCGUAUGCCGCAAGGCAUACACCGCGCGCGGGAAGAAGAUACUGCGGCGGAGCGAUACUGCGUGAAGUGAACCAUCUAAGUAACGCGGGAAGAGAAAUCAAAAGAGAUUGCGCAAGUAGCGGCGAGCGAACGCGCAGGAGCCUAAACCCUUAUGUAGGGUGUUGCAGGGCCGCACGGGGAUGACCCGUGGAGUUGGUGAGAAAACCGAUAUGUAGCGGAAGCGUCUGGAAAGGCGCGCGAGACAGCGUGAAAGCCGCGUAUGCGAAAGAUAUCGGACUCCAUGGUGCGGUACCUAAGUAGGGCGGGGCACGAGAAACCCUGUUUGAAUCCGGGUCGACCACGAUCCAAGGCUAAAUACGAGACAGCUACCGACAGCGAAGAGUACCGUGAGGGAACGGCGAAAAGAACCCCGGUGAGGGGAGUGAAAGAGAACCUGAAACCGCAAACCGACAAGAUGUCACGGCGCGCGAGCGUUGUGGCGUGUCUUUUGUAGAAUAAACCUGCGAGUUGCGUUGCGCGGCGAGGCUAAGGGUUGGGAGAUCCGGAGCCGGAGCGAAAGCGAGUGUGAAAAGUGCGAAAAGUCGCGUGACGCAGACCCGAAGCCAAGGUGAUCUAAUUAUGGGCAGGCUGAAGGCAGGGUGAAACCUGUUGGAGGGCCGAACAGUAAUCUGUUAAAAAAGGUAGUGAUGACCUGUGAUUAGGAGUGAAAGGCUAAACAAACCUGGAAAUAGCUGGCUCUCCCCGAAAUGCCUUUAGGGACAGCCUCAUGCAAAGCGGAAGGAGGUAAAGCACCGGAUGGGAUAGGGGGCGUCACAGUCUACCGACACCAAUCGAACUCAGAAUGCCAUCCGCCAACGCAUGGGAGUGAGACUGUGUGCUCCAAGGUUCAUAGUCGAGAGGGAAACAGCCCGGACCGACGGCAAAGGUCCCAAAAUAACGCUCAGUGUGAAAUGAGGUGCGUCUGCACAGACAGCCAGGAGGUUGGCUCAGAAGCAGCCAUUCCUUAAAAGAGUGCGUAACAGCUCACUGGUCGAGCAGGCGUGCGCAGACAAUGUAACGGGGCUAAGCGUUAUACCGAAGCCGCGGGUCCGCAUCGUAAGAGAUGCGGGCGGUAGGGGAGCAUUGCGCUAACCGGAGAAGGCGUACCUGUGAGGGGCGCUGGAGGAAGCGGAAGAGAGAAUGCAGGCACAAGUAACGAAAAGACGGGUGAGAUUCCCGUCCGCCGAAAGCCUGAGGAUUCCCGGGUAAAGGCAAUCUGCCCGGGGUAAGUCGGCCCCUAAGGCGAGGACGAAAGUCGUAGUCGAUGGGAAAUCGGUUCAAAAUCCGAUACCCGGCUCAGUUUUGAAGGCAGGACGCAUGAGGUGAAAUCCGGCAGAAGAACGGUAGUUUCUGUCCAAGCGGUAAGGUGUUGAGAGGGCGGUUAAAAGAGCCCUUGAGCUGAGCCGUUACGGGGAGCGGAGCGCAGGCGAAGCGAAGCGGAUGUAAUCAAGGUGCCGGGAAAUACUGUCUAAAGAUAGGCUGAGUCGGACCGUACCGGAAACGGACACACGCAGGCAGGAUGAGUAAUCUAAGGCGCACGAGCGACCCCGCGUUAAGGAACUCGGCAAAAAGCACACGUAACUUCGGAAGAAGUGUGGCUCACGCUGAUAAGGAUGUGAGCGGCAGAAAGCAGGCCCAGGCGACUGUUUACCAAAAACACAGCCAUCUGCGAACCGGCAACGGGACGUAUAGGUGGUGACACCUGCCCGGUACCGGAAGGUUAAGGGGAGGGGUUAGCAGAAAUGCGAAGCUCCGAACCGAAGCCCCGGCAAACGGCGGCCGUAACUAUAACGGUCCUAAGGUAGCGAAAUUCCUUGUCGGGUAA
rnacentral:rRNA from 1 species